rnacentral:rRNA from 1 species
CUGACCUGCAUCCGAUACGGUCGAGCUAGAGUUUGGUAGGGGAGACUGGAAUUCCUGGUGUAGCGGUGGAAUGCGCAGAUAUCAGGAGGAACACCGAUGGCGAAGGCAGGUCUCUGGGCCAAUACUGACACUGAGGAGCGAAAGCGUGGGGAGCGAACAGGAUUAGAUACCCUGGUAGUCCACGCCGUAAACGGUGGGCGCUAGUUGUGCGAACCUUCCACGGUUUGUGCGACGCAGCUAACGCAUUAAGCGCCCCGCCUGGGGAGUACGAUCGCAAGAUUAAAACUCAAAGGAAUUGACGGGGCCCCGCACAAGCAGCGGAGCAUGCGGCUUAAUUCGACGCAACGCGAAGAACCUUACCAAGGCUUGACAUAUACAGGAAUAUGGCAGAGAUGUCAUAGCCGCAAGGUCUGUAUACAGGUGAUGCAUGGUUGUCGUCAGCUCGUGUCGUGAGAUGUUGGGUUAAGUCCCGCAACGAGCGCAACCCUCGUUCUGUGUUGCCAGCAUUUAGUUGGGGACUCACAGGAGACUGCCGGGGUUAACUCGGAGGAAGGUGGGGAUGACGUCAAAUCAUCAUGCCCCUUAUGUCUUGGGCUGCACGCAUGCUACAAUGGCUGGUACAAACGGCUGCGAUACCGCAAGGUGGAGCGAAUCCGAGAAAGCAGUCUCAGUUCGGAUUGGGGUCUGCAACUCGACCCCAUGAAGUCGGAGUUGCUAGUAAUCGUAGAUCAGCAACGCUACGGUGAAUACGUUCCCGGGGCUUGUACACACCGCCCGUCACAUCACGAAAGUCGGUAACACCCAAAGUCAGUGGCCCAACCGCAAGGA